rnacentral:rRNA from 1 species
UACGUAGGGUGCAAGCGUUGUCCGGAAUUAUUGGGCGUAAAGAGCUCGUAGGCGGUUUGUCGCGUCUGCCGUGAAAGUCCGGGCUCAACUCCGGAUCUGCGGUGGGUACGGGCAGACUAGAGUGAUGUAGGGGAGACUGGAAUUCCUGGUGUAGCGGUGAAAUGCGCAGAUAUCAGGAGGAACACCGAUGGCGAAGGCAGGUCUCUGGGCAUUAACUGACGCUGAGGAGCGAAAGCAUGGGGAGCGAA